UAUAAAUCAGGUUACACUCUAGCGUGAGAAUCAACGUCGGGGUAAAACUGGCCGAUAUAUGAACACCCCCCCUCCGUCCCAGAGAUGCGAGAUAGAAGGCAAGCCCCGUGUGGAAAACUUCCGGGUGAGGGUUUUCUGCAAACGUUGACGCGUGAAACCAUACAACGACUCGGUAACCUAGAAUGCUGAGCAGUCUUAGCGGUUUGCAUGAUUCCUCCUCGACGUCCCGUACCACUAACCCACCAGUGCUUAAAAAGCCUAGCCUCACUGUGGGCGCCCAAAGUGCCGUCAAGUCGGUGUCGAUUCUGAGCAACCACACAGAGAGAGUCUCUCCAGGAUGAUCAACUUGGCUUUUAAGGUCUCCUGGUGCUGCAUUCAUGGCUGUCCUCAUCGAGUCCACCCACCUUGCUGCUGGUCGUCUUCUUCUUCUCUUAGAUAAAUAAUAUGUUUUAAUAGAUAAAAUAGAUAGCUAAGAAUGUAUUUUUCUCUAUUGUGAUUUUUAUCUGCUUUGUGAAUUUUAAGUGAUAUACUUUGUGUCCUGUUUUCAUUUGUACACUACCUAGAGAAUUCUAUAUUAGGCGGUAUCGGAAUUCAAUCAAUAGAGGGAAGAUGCCUCCGAAUCCCAGUUGCAGGGCAGCAGCCGCAGGAGGGAGGGCCUGCCCCUUCCAGCUCUUGCCUGUGGGCUUCCUCGAGGCCUCUGGUGGGCCACUGUGUGAAUCAGGAUGCUGGACUAGAUGGGCCUCCUCCUUGGGCCUGAUCCGGCAGCAGGGCUCUUCGGAUGUCCAUAAACUGCUUGCAGAGCUCCAUGGAAGUGCUUGCACUGGGCCCAGGACAGGCUCCGGAGAUCCCUCCACGCAAUCACAGCAUGCACCUGCAGUCGAACCCUCUGCAGACACAUUGCUCCUUCAGCUGCGUCAGACUUCUUCGUUGGGAGGUCUGGGGGCCAGUGGCUGUCCCCAUCAGCCCAAAGAGCGCUCCCCCUGGCGAAUUGCCUGUUGGGCCUGUGUGAUGCUUGGGUCAAAGCUAGGUUCUCUGUCAGAGGGAAUCCCAGAUGACGCUGACUACAGCUCCCAGAAUCCCUAGCUGCAGUGGGCUUUGGCUGAGGAUGCUGGGAGUUGUGGUCAACAACAUCUGGGAUUUUCCGUUAGAGGGGACCCUGCCUGACCCCAUGCCGUGUUACGCUUUGCCCAGCGCCUGGGCUCCUUUAAGGGAAACGGAGCCCUCUUAAGCCCCUGCAACCUCUUGGGAGUGCUGGGAAAGGCCCCUGCUAAC